rnacentral:rRNA from 1 species
GUGGGGAAUAUUGGACAAUGGGGGGAACCCUGAUCCAGCCAUGCCGCGUGUGUGAAGAAGGCCUUUUGGUUGUAAAGCACUUUAAGCGAGGAGGAGGCUACCGAGAUUAAUACUCUUGGAUAGUGGACGUUACUCGCAGAAUAAGCACCGGCUAACUCUGUGCCAGCAGCCGCGGUAAUACAGAGGGUGCAAGCGUUAAUCGGAUUUACUGGGCGUAAAGCGCGCGUAAGUGGCAAAUUAAGUCAAAUGUGAAAUCCCCGAGAUUAACUUGGGAAUUGCAUUCGAUACUGGUUGGCUAGAGUAUGGGAGAGGAUGGUAGAAUUCCAGGUGUAGCGGUGAAAUGCGUAGAGAUCUGGAGGAAUACCGAUGGCGAAGGCAGCCAUCUGGCCUAAUACUGACACUGAGGUGCGAAAGCAUGGGGAGCAAACAGGAUUAGAUACCCCAGUAGUCC